CGCGUAGGCGGACCUUCAAGUCGGAUGUGAAACCCGGCGGCUUAACUGCCGGCCUGCAUACGAUACUGUUGGUCUUGAGUACAUGAGAGGAAAGCGGAAUUCCAGGUGUAGCGGUGAAAUGCGUAGAUAUCUGGAAGAACACCAGUAGCGAAGGCGGCUUUCUGGCGUGAUACUGACGCUCAAGCGCGAAGGCUAGGGGAGCAAACAGGAUUAGAUACCCUGGUAGUCC
rnacentral:rRNA from 1 species